GAUGAAGAACGUAGCGAAAUGCGAUAAUUAAUGUGAAUUGCAGAAUUCAGUGAAUCAUCGAGUCUUUGAACGCACAUUGCGCCCCCUGGUAUUCCGGGGGGCAUGCCUGUCCGAGCGUCAUUGCUGCCCUCAAGCACGGCUUGUGUGUUGGGCUUCCGUCCCUGGUAACGGGGACGGGCCCAAAAGGCAGUGGCGGCACCAUGUCUGGUCCUCGAGCGUAUGGGGCUUUGUCACCCGCUCCCGUAGGUCCAGCUGGCAGCUAGCCUCGCAACCAAUCUUUUUAACCAGGUUGACCUCGGAUCAGGUAGGGAUACCCGCUGAACUUAAGCAUAUCAAUGAGCGGAGGA
rnacentral:misc_RNA from 1 species